rnacentral:lncRNA from 1 species
ACUCUACUAAGCUUGUCUAUGAAUCGUGAUACCUAAGUCACUUAUAGCUCUGAUACCAACUUGUCACGACCCAAAUUUUCAAUCCUCGGGAGUUGUGAUGGUGCCUACUAAUGAAAGCUAGGCAAACCGACCAUUUGGAUCAUUUACCUUUUUUUUCCAUUUUAAUCCCUUUUCAAUUAAUAACCAACAUUAGAAAAACAACGUAAUUUAAUAGGCGGAAGACUGAAAUGUAAUAUUUAAUAGAGAUGCCAAUACCAUUCCAUGCAUAAACUACCUGAUACUGG